GAUCUUUUCAGCUCAAAAUUGUAUUUAUGGAGUUUUUGAUGUCUAAAAACUGUUUCUUAUGAAAAGAACCAAUUACUCUCAACUUAUCUUUUAUUAUAAUUAUUCCUUUUUACAUGGGAUAGAAAAAGAAAUUAUUAAACUUAUUUGAAGACUUCCGAAUAACAUUUGGUUAUGCAGUCUGCCUAUUUUAAUGUUACUAUGACUUGCAAAAUUGAAAACUGUGGAGGAAUUCUAAGUUAAUGGAAAAAUCUCUAAACUUCUUUAAGGAUGUUCAUCUCAAAAUGUGGUUUUAAAAUUAGGCAUUUCACCAUCUGACACAAGAAGAGAAAGAAACCAAAUUGUAGAGAAUCAGAUGUGAUUACUGUCCUUGAUGGCAUCUGCCUGCAAAUGGGAUAUUCUGUCAAGGUAACAGCGGAUAUGAUUGAAAACAAGAUGUCUGCUGCCCUUGGGAGGACUUACUCACAAAUGGGAUGUUCUGCCAAGUGCGCUAGGAAGGCGCUGAGAAAAAUUUUAUUAUCUGUUCUUAACAAAGAGCAGAGUUCAGCAUGCUCCAGGCUGAGAGUAGAUUAGCCAUGAAAAGGGGGUCACUUCUGAUUAGAAAGUAAAACUUCUGUGUGCUAUGUUUAAUUAGCUGAAAGACCUGGUUUAUUGCUGUUGGGAGGCUGCCUUCUUUGUUCACAAUACUAUAAAAAGAUUGCUUGUAUACAAUAAAGGACUUUUUUCUUCUGCUGCUUGGCUUGCUCUGCUGCUUCUUUCUUUCUCAUGCUGACCUGCAAGUGAAUUACUGCAACACCUAAUAAAAUACUAGCAAACUCUGACAGAAACUCUUUCCAAAAUUAGACUUACUAAUCUUCACAUGAGAGACUCCAUUUUCUACAGAGGGCUUAUUCUUUAAUAUACAAGACUCCUUCUCCUCCCCACUAAACUUACUUAUAAAAUUACACUGGUUUCUUGGGGCUUCUGCCCAAGUUUCUUCCUUAUGAACCACUGACAUUUCUGCAAACCUCCUCUAAAUAUUGUGAGAGAUAGAAGUGGCUUUUUAUUUAGAAAAGUAGUCAUGAUUGAGGAUUAUCAGUGAAAGCCCAUGGGGCUUUAUUGAAUCAUGUCAACAGCUGUCUGUAAUAAUGCAUACUUUGCUGGCCACAACAGAAUGUAUAAAACAAUGUUAUGAAUUGGAAAAAAAUAUGUUUUUUUCAUAAUUUAUCAGCAUUAUUAUGCCACAGAAUAAUGCACUCUUAUCAAUAAUACAAAGCUCUUUGUGAGCAUUAUGUGUUGUAGGUAAUAAUUCAGUCUGUUCUCUGGCCUGCCAGGAGAGUUGUAAAGCAGAAUGUAUUAGCUCACCUUGUGAUAAUAAAUCACUUUAGUAUGUCCGUAGGCUCUAGCUAACAUUCACUUCUGAGGUCUUAAAGAACAGUGCUCUAAAUGGUUCUGGAAGUGUUUAUACUGGCUCUGACUCUCCUGGGUAAUGUUUCAGUGAGUGAUAUGAUCAGAUAACAAGUGGCACUAUUUCUCAAGUAUCCAUAUUGUGAUAUCUCCUGUAGUUUUAUUGCCUGGAGUAGUUGAUUUUGUCUUAAUUGGAUCUGGAGUUCUUUGUGUCUAUUUUUAAUAUGAUUUUUUAAAAGUGGUUUAUAAACUUGUGCACUUGUUCUAAGUGAUAUCACCCUUUUUUCUUAGUUAUCUUUGCAUGGAUCAGAAAUCAAUAAGUCCUCACUGUUCUUGUUUUAUCCUCUUGAAAAAAUACAGACACCUGUAUAGGAAAUGUUUCUCUUGAAAGUGAAAUAGCCAUCAAUUCAUCACCACUUCAUGUGUUCCAAAUGGUAACAAGACAUCUGCAUUGGUAGCAAAUCACAAUUGAUUAUAUAAAUAGAAUUUAGAGCAACAUGUUUACAUAAACUUUGUGAUAAUAACCAAGCUGUGUGUAUUAAUUUCUCCUAUAAUAACAGUAAAGGUGGUGAUUUGUGCACAGGAAGAAACUCUCUGACAUUAAAUCAUUCUUUUGGCUGAGAACAUACAACUGAAUUUUAACAUGUUACAAUUUUCUCACAGGAAAACAAGAAAUAAAUUUAUAAGAAGCACUUUAUUGAAGGUAAUAGCUUUUCUAAAAGAGGUAAAACAUUUCAUUUUGUUUAUAUUUUCUUAAAACUGCGUAGACUAAUUCUGAGAAUGUACUUAAGCACUUUCUUUUUUUAUAUACAUUUUUGGAUGUUGAUGGACCUUUAUUUUGUGCAUUUAUUUAUAUGAAGUACUUAGAUGGAAACAUGUGCCUCAAACAUGCUAAGCAAGUGUUCUACCACUGAGUUACAAUCCCAGCUCCAGGCACAAGCCCAGGUCUUUCAGCUCUUUCUUGAUGUGUAGAAUUUCUCACCCAUGCCUCUGCUGUCUUGAUCUAAGUAUCCAUACACUUACUUCACACUGAUACAGUGAUUGGAUUCACAAACACAGUACCAUUUACUGCAGCAUAACAGCAUGGUUUAUAACUUAGUCCAUUUUAAGAAUUCAAGCUAAUUAGAGUCACACAACUAUUAUAAUAGUGCCUUUUAAUCCACUGGUAUAUUAACCUAUAUAAGAGGGGCGGGCUUUUUAUAUACAAAAAAAUCCUGAAAAAUAGUUGGACUGAAACAGGUGGAAAAUAAUAGUUGAGGCCCACUGCUCUUUUGUGUUGCACUAAUAUUAAUGCAGAGACCAUUAGGAGCAGCACACUAGCUGAGCUGAAUAAAGUUGGCCAAUUUCUAAGAAAAUCAGAAUUCAUAUAAUACAGGGCCUUCUAGACCACAUCAGGUUGACUCCUUUGGAAAGCAAAUGUGUAAGCCAUGCAGCUCACAAGACAUGACAUGGCUCAUCCACAUUCCACAUGGCUUGUGUGGCCUCUGUUCAGCACCAGAAGACCCUCAACACUGGCUCCCACAGAAGAGAUUGCUGCAGUGAAUUAUUGGUAUUAGUAAAGUGUAGUGAACUAUGGUGACAGCAAUUUUGAAGAGAGAUUCCUUCUGUUUGCGUCCAGCAAAAAGACAGUAAGGAAAAUAUGAGUGAAAAAGUCCUUUUCCAUGAACUCCUCCUUGUUUUGCUUUGUAAGCAUACCCUAUAGAAGAAAAUAGAAUUCUGACUGUGGGGGGAAAUCUGGACCUCCAGUGAUUGUUAUAGAAGAAUAGGAAAUGUUGACACCAAGGGUAUGCUAUCGAAUACUUAGCAUAGAACUGCCUACUUCUUUGAGAGAAGGCUCUGUGGUAAAUAGAAAAUGCUGGUCAUAUCGUUUCUUUUGGAUUCAUGAAGCCUAGAGUUUUAUUUGAUGUUUGAGAUCCAUUGUGCUUUGAAAUGUAAUGCUCUUAGCAUCCCUGCCAUAGGUUAAUAUGAAAGGUGAUUUAAAAUACUGUGGUGGGCUAACCUCCAUUGAUUAUUUUGAUGGGAAACAUUUUGUAAUUAAAAAAAAAUUAAAAUACAAAUACUCUUUAGUAGGGAAUUUUAUACACCAUUGAGUGGAGGCUUUCUUAAAAUGAUUUUUGUCGGACUGCCCUCCGACAGAAGUUGAGGAGAAUCACUAUACCAGCUAGUGAGUGUCUACGGGCUGAGGGAGAGGGUGAGUGUCCUGACCCAGCCCGCCACCCUGCCUGGCAAAAAUCACACCGAGUUGGGAGUUGAGGACUUAUAUAGAGAGAGGAGAAGGAGGGGGGGCAAAGGCAAGGGCCAAUCAGAGAUUGGAGAGUCCCCCAGGUUGGGGUAGCCUAGGCACCCCAGUUACAGAAACAGAGCCCCGUUACCCUAGUUACAGAAACAAUACCCCAUUAGGUAUGUGUGCCCCGUUGCUGGGGAGUUAUUCUUUGUGUUUGUGGAAGCCAUAUCUUGGGGCUGUUCAGGCACGUAUAUGGAAGCCAUUUCUCAAGCUCUAACUGUCAUGUACAUGGAGAAUCACAAAACCAGAAUCAGAAGACUGGGGAUUUCUUUUUCCCCAGCGAUUGCACUUCCAUGGUCAGCAGAGGUCCCAACAUAUUUUAUUCAAACACAUCUUUUAUUUCAAAUAUAUAAAUAACUGGCUUUUUAAAGUCCGUCAUGUAAAAAAAUUCAGAUACUUUAAAAUAAAAGUAAACAGGUAAUUCACACCAUAUUUUCUACAAAAAUUUUUAUUUACCAUUGUGUUUAGAAAAAUGUAAAAGAAUUAAAUUAUUUCACGUACAUAUAAAAAGUUAACCUUAGGUAAAACAUAUAUACAUAUAUACAUUUAUACAUAAUGUUCUGGAGUGUACACACACAUUCUAAAAUAUAUAUAAAAGAUUUCAUCAACUUGGAGAAAAAUUCCGUAAAGUAUCUAGUAUUGAUAUUAUUUAAUGAACUUUCAUGGAAAAGUAAUUACAAAAUCAUGUCUAAACUUAUGAGAAAUAGUUUCAUGUGUUGAUCCCUAUCCCAAGAAAAUAAGUUUUCAGAGGUUUUUCAGAGGAUAAAUAACCUGUGAUUCUUCACAGUCUUAUCAUGCAUUCACUACUUUUCUUAUUUCUAGCCUGGAUACUGUCUCUCUCUAGUACUUAAGACAUUUUCUUCAUAUGUAAAUUACUUUUCCACUUCUACCUAUUUUGAUUUAAUUUCUUAAACACUCUUUGUAUUCU
rnacentral:lncRNA from 1 species